rnacentral:sRNA from 1 species
UCUCUCUCUCUCUCUCUCUCUCUCUCUUUCUCUCUCUCA